GGCGCUGGUGUGCGGCGAGGGCUUCAACACGGUCGUG
rnacentral:tRNA from 1 species